AGAGCUUUGAUCCUGGCUCAGAACGAACGCUGGCGGCAGGCUUUAUACAUGCAAGCUCGAGCGAGAAGCAUCCUUCGGGAUGUGGGCAGCGGCGGACGGGUGAGUAACGCGUGGGAACCUACCUAGCAGCGGGGGACAACCAUUGGAAACGAUGGCUAAUACCGCAUACGCCCUUCGGGGGAAAGAUUUAUCACUGUUAGAUGGGCCCGCGUUAGAUUAGAUAGUUGGUGGGGUAAUGGCCUACCAAGUCUACGAUCUAUAGCUGGUUUGAGAGGAUGAUCAGCCACACUGGAACUGAGACACGGUCCAGACUCCUACGGGAGGCAGCAGUAGGGAAUAUUGCACAAUGGAGGAAACUCUGAUGCAGCCAUGCCGCGUGAGUGAAGAAGGCCCUAGGGUUGUAAAGCUCUUUCAAUGGUGAAGAUGAUGACGGUAACCAUA
rnacentral:rRNA from 1 species